rnacentral:rRNA from 1 species
UACGGAGGGUGCAAGCGUUAUCCGGAUUUACUGGGUUUAAAGGGUGCGUGGGCGGGCCUUUAAGUCAGUGGUGAAAUCUCCCCGCUCAACGGGGAAACUGCCAUUGAUACUAUUGGUCUUGAAUUUAGUUGAGGUGGGCGGAAUGUGUCGUGUAGCGGUGAAAUGCUUAGAUAUGACAUAGAACACCAAUUGCGAAGGCAGCUGGCUACACGAAUAUUGACACUGAUGCACGAAAGCGUGGGGAUCAAACAGG